GGAGCGGCGUCCUCCGGUCGUAGUUCCUGCAGUUGGGGUCGAUGCCGAACCUGAGCAGCCUCCUCAGCAGGUCGAUCUUGCCCUGGGCGACCACCCUGCACAGGUAGCCUCCUGCGUCCUCCAGAUUCAGCGCUGCGCCGUGCGCCACCAGCAGCGAGAUGAUCCUCUCGUGCCCUGAUUUCACCGCUUCCAGCAGCGGCGACUUCCCAGACUUAUCUGCAUUCAUCAGAUAUGUGUGUGUGUGUUAGUGAUUUGAACUGUUUCUUCUUAAAAUGGAAAAAAGAAGUCGUACCUAUGCUGUUGACCUUUGCUCCUCGCUUGAUAAGGAACCUGACGAUGUCUUCGUAUCCUCUUGAUGCAGCCACAUGCUGCAAGACAAAGAUGUGGAAAAAGUUGAAUAGUUGUUAGUGUGUGAAUAGAAUCUUGACUGACGAUUUUCGCAGUUAACUUUUACUCCUGUAAUAUAAUUUUACUUGAUGAUUAAUCUGCAAGAGUUCACGUACCAAGGAGGUCCUCCCGUCGUAGUCCGGUUUACUUGGAUCUGCUCCUGCACCGAUCAAGCCUUUCAACCGAAACAAGUCUCCAUGGUAGGCAGCAUUGUUGACUCCAAGGACCAGAAGAAAUGCUUCAGUACCGCUAAUAUUUUGCGUCGAAGCGCUAAUAUUUACUAUGAUUCUACUGCUAAAUUAGGAUGUACCUUGAGUAGGUUGCUCAGUAUCUGACGGCUAUCCUUGAGAUCACGGCCACAUCGCCGACUAUGUCGUAGGGCAGCAGCUCUGAGACGAUCUCUUCUGAUCCGCCUUCUCCGGUGCCAAUCUCUUCCUGUAAGAUCACAUGGAACAUGAUAGGUGGAGGUCAGUUAUACAGUAGAGUUAUGUUUUCUCUUGGUUUAUGGAGAUAGUUAAAUUCAGUGAAAAGUAGUACCAAGCAUCCAUGUGCCACAAUGUAUAUCUGAUCCACCACAGUGCCUUGCUCCAAAAUAACUUCCCCAGGGAGGAAGAAUUCUUCCUGUAUUUUAACCACCUGAAACCAUCAACUGAAGAGUUAGAUGAAUUGUCUAGCUGAGAUAAACCGGAAUGAGACAAGCAUGAAUCUACUCAAGUUCUUACAAUCUGGCUCAGGAAGUCUUCUGAGCAUCCUCUGAACAGGUGCACUUUUGAGACCGUGUCCAGAGAAAAAAAAAUAGCCUGAAGCCCUGAACAGUACCUUGGAUCGGACAGCGGCCGGUAUGUCGUCGACGAUCCUGUCUCUCUUGUAGCUGCUCUCGUACUGCAGCAGCAGGUGCGCCUUCACCUGGGAUCGGAUGUCGCUGCCCAGCCGGUUCCUGUUCAUGUACCUGAUGAGCUCCGUCAUCUUGUCUCGGAACCGCUCGGUCCUGGACCCCUUGACGAUGAGCGCCGUCAUGUUCCCGAUCAGAUCAAGAAGUGCAUGUAACCUUGAUGUUAUGUCACGAAGGGCAUCGACAUGCAUGGCGUCGAGAAAUGCUUACCGACUGUGGCCAUGGUGACGAUGGCGAGGUAGAGGGAGGUGAUGUAGCGGGUGAGCAGGUCGACCUUCCUGAAGUUGAUGUAGCUCUGGUCGCCCAUGGUGAGGCUCCCGAUCCAGGUGCCCCCCUCGCGCGCCGGAGGCAGCGUGGUGGCGAGGUAGUAGAAGACACAGGCGGCGGUGUGCGUGCAGUAGAGCUCCACGGUGGCCAGCUUCGCGAUCCGCGUGAAGAGGUAGCUGAUGCGGAUGUCCUUCUCCAUCUUCUUGAAGAAGCCCUGGAUCUUCCUCGCCCUGUACAGCCGCAGCCACACCAGAAAUGUUAAUCCUACUGGUUCUCGAGAUUGUGAACCAAGUUAAUUUACCUUGUAGACGGCGUCCCAUGGGAAGCAUCCGAGCAUGUCGAGAGCGAAGCUGCCCUUGAUGUAGCUGAAAAAGCAAGAACACUUUCAGAAAUUCAGAAAACUGCCAUUCUGUCUUGAGUUGACUGUGAGAAGUGAGCUCUGACCGUAGCGCGAUCCUCUGCUGGUCGUAGACCACCCGGUGGGUGUGAGGGUCCCGGUAGGCGAGGAAGAAGUGGACGGCGACGUCGGCGAGGAAGAUGAGCUGCACGCACUCGAGGUCCAGCAGGUGCUCCGGGAUGCCCCGGAAGAAGCAGAAUGCGAAGGGGGUGUAGAAGACGGAGUAGAUGGACCACAGGAACAUCAUGUUCGACCACAUCCUGUACCAUCUGCAGCAGAGCAGAGCAGAGCAGAGCACGUUCAACAUCAAGAACCAUGGCUGCCUAGCUAGCUCCAUGCUUCCAUGCCUCUGCAUGGUAUGCAUCUCUCACCAUUCUCAUGCAGAAUUUCUCUAACUGGCCAGCACUCGGUUAGCAGAUAUUGGUUUCGAAUGCAACAUGUGAAUCCUCUUUUUCAGCACCUAUUUGGAUUCUAGCUUAAUAUACAGAGCUUGAUCU